CUCGUAGGCGGCUCGGUAAGUGAGGUGUGAAAACUCCAGGCUCAACCUGGAGACGCCACCUCAUACUGCCGUGGCUAGAGUCCGGUAGGGGAGCAUGGAAUUCCUGGUGUAGCGGUGAAAUGCGCAGAUAUCAGGAGGAACACCAGUGGCGAAGGCGGUGCUCUGGGCCGGAACUGACGCUGAGGAGCGAAAGCGUGGGGAGCAAACAGGAUUAGAUACCCUGGUAGUCCACGCCGUAAACGUUGGGCACUAGGUGUGGGUCCUUAUCAACGGGAUCCGUGCCGUAGCUAACGCAUUAAGUGCCCCGCCUGGGGAGUACGGCCGCAAGGCUAAA
rnacentral:rRNA from 1 species